UACGUAGGGUGCAAGCGUUAAUCGGAAUUAUUGGGCGUAAAGGGUGCGUAGGCGGUUUGUUAAGACGGAUGUGAAAUCUCUGGGCUCAACCUGGGAACUGCAUACGUGACUGGCAGACUAGAGUAUGGCAGAGGGAGGUGGAAUUCCACGUGUAGCAGUGAAAUGCGUAGAGAUGUGGAGGAAUACCGAUGGCGAAGGCAGCCCCCCUGGGAUAACACUGACGCUCAUGCACGAAAGCGUGGGGAGCAAA
rnacentral:rRNA from 1 species